AUAAAGUGUAUGUUGUGUAAGCAAAGUAACAGUCAUAAUUAUCCAAUCAAUACGGCACGUCAUAUGCUCACUGGACAAUGAGCGAGUGACGUCACGACAUGAGAUGCCAGGUCGGGAGAUAAGCGAAAAGGAGAAUCGAGAAGGCCGGGGAGUCCAGGCGUGGCACCCGCGUUGGUAGGGGAAAGAUGAGGAAGAAGCCUAACAUCCCAAAUCACCUGCUGCAACAGGCCUGCUCUGCUCUGUGGAAACUGAUCGAAUUCGAAUUAGAACAUGGUCAUCAUAAUAUAACAGAUAACAGUGUGAACAUGCUUAGUCAGUGCC